rnacentral:rRNA from 1 species
AUGAUGACUCUCGGCAAUGGAUAUCUCGGCUCUCGCCUCGAUGAAGAACGUAGCGAAAUGCGAUACCUGGUGUGAAUUGCAGAAUCCCGUGAACCAUCGAGUCUUUGAACACAAGUUGUGCCCGAGGCUACCCGGUCGAGGGCACGCCUGCCUGGGCGUCACGC